GUGUACUGUAUUGUGUACUUCCUAUAAUCCUAUAUGCAUUUUUCAAUUUCCCAAGAAUUAGGAAUAAACUAAUUACGACAUCUCUGUAAGAUGGCCUUGCAUUUCCAUCAAGAAAGCACGCAUUUCCGGUUUCCCGAGAGUCGAGUCUGGUCGAGUUUUCGUCGAGUGGGAUUUGAAUCUCUGCUAAUCUGUUCAUCAAGCGAGGAGACGCGAAUAUGUGGCGAGUUUAUGGCGCCAACGGAAAUUCAAAUGGGUCACAUCAAAGUAAGUGCUAUAAUAUCCACAUCAUUAAACGGGAUUGUGUCUAAUUCCGUGUAUUUUUCGUCUAAACGAUGUGUAGCUUAAUGUUCUUUCUUACAUUUGUUAUUCAUAUUUUGUGUACAAAUUAAACAUAUAGUAUAUAUAUGUUGACUAAAUGUAGACUAUUAUAUUUUAUUUUAUGUGUGAACGCGCAUAUAAUUCACAGGUAUUUGCUCGCUUUGUAGAUUAUCUUUUGAUUAUUUUUCGUUAGAACGUAUACCUUGAUUAGAAAUGACGUUUAAUUUAUCAACUUGUGAUUUGAAUUAUGCUAUGACAAUAUCAUCGAAAUCUAAUAAGAAAUAACGCUAAUUGUACCUAACCACUUAUAUUCAACUUUUGGACGUUUUUUUGGCUCUUAUACUUUCACCACCAUGUUAGUCGAAUUUACUUGAUGUCCAGUCGUUCUUGCGACUUGCGACAAAUCGUGAUGCGAUUUGUAAGAGUACCGAGUAUCAUUCAACUGCGGUGAAAGCGUCAAUCAUUCGGAUAUUAUUCGGCAUCAUGAUUUUUCUUUUUAAGAAAGAUUACAAUAUACAUACACACAUAUAUGAAAGAAAGAACAAGUGAUUUUUAUGUAAAUGCAUAUUGUACGUGUGUACAAUAUAAGUGAACGUUUAAUAUUAUCUGAAUUUAUUAACCUACAAAAAAUUUUCAUAUAUAUGAAUGUAAUUUUUCUUAAAUUUUAUAUUAUCGAAAUUCUGAAAUCUCAAAAGAAAGAUCGUGAUAUCGAAUGAUAUCUGAAUAUUUAGGUAUUGCAUAUAUAUACAUAUAUAUAUAUAAUAUAUUUGAAAUGUAAAUAUUUUUUCUUAAAAAAAGUAAUGCGAUUGCAUAUUAUAAUAUAUCAGACUGACACCUUAUUAUUGACAUAUCGUUUCAUCUAUUAAACAUUAUCUUGUCAACGCAGCAACAAUAUUUUAUAUUUGUUACAUUGCCAUGCGCAUCCAAUAUGAUAAAACAUAUAAUCUAUU